rnacentral:rRNA from 1 species
GAUGAACGCUGGCGGCGUGCCUAACACAUGCAAGUCGAGCGGCAGCGAGGGGUGCUUGCACCCUGCCGGCGAGCGGCGGACGGCUGAGUAACGCGUGGGAACGUGCCCCAAAGUGAGGAAUAACUGCCCGAAAGGGUAGCUAAUACCGCAUAUUAUCUUCGGAUCAAAGGAUUUAUCCGCUUUGGGAGCGGCUCGCGUCGGAUUAGGUAGUUGGUGAGGCAAUGGCUCACCAAGCCGACGAUCCGUAGCUGGUCUGAGAGGAUGACCAGCCAGACUGGAACUGAGACACGGUCCAGACUCCUACGGGAGGCAGCAGUGAGGAAUCUUCCACAAUGGGCGAAAGCCUGAUGGAGCAACGCCGCGUGCAGGACGAAGGCCUUCGGGUUGUAAACUGCUUUUAUAAGUGAGGAAUAUGACGGUAACUUAUGAAUAAGGAUCGGCUAACUACGUG